AGAGUUUGAUCCUGGCUCAGGAUGAACGCUGGCGGCGUGCCUAACACAUGCAAGUCGAGCGAGGGUUUGCUCAGUAUUGAGUAUUCUAAGUCUAGAAUGUUCAAUUCUGAGCAAAACCAAGCGGCGGACGGGUGAGUAACGCGUGGGUAACCUGCCCUAUACACAUGGAUAACAUACUGAAAAGUUUACUAAUACAUGAUAAUAUAUAUUUGCGGCAUCGCAGAUAUAUCAAAGUGUUAGCGGUAUAGGAUGGACCCGCGUCUGAUUAGCUAGUUGGUGAGAUAACUGCCCACCAAGGCGACGAUCAGUAGCCGACCUGAGAGGGUGAUCGGCCACAUUGGAACUGAGACACGGUCCAAACUCCUACGGGAGGCAGCAGUGGGGAAUAUUGCACAAUGGGCGAAAGCCUGAUGCAGCAACGCCGCGUGAACGAUGAAGGUCUUCGGAUCGUAAAGUUCUGUUGCAGGGGAAGAUAAUGACGGUACCCUGUGAGGAAGCCCCGGCUAACUACGUGCCAGCAGCCGCGGUAAUACGUAGGGGGCUAGCGUUAUCCGGAUUUACUGGGCGUAAAGGGUGCGUAGGUGGUCCUUCAAGUCGGUGGUUAAAGGCUACGGCUCAACCGUAGUAAGCCGCCGAAACUGGAGGACUUGAGUGCAGGAGAGGAAAGUGGAAUUCCCAGUGUAGCGGUGAAAUGCGUAGAUAUUGGGAGGAACACCAGUAGCGAAGGCGGCUUUCUGGACUGCAACUGACACUGAGGCACGAAAGCGUGGGUAGCAAACAGGAUUAGAUACCCUGGUAGUCCACGCUGUAAACGAUGAUUACUAGGUGUUGGGGGUCGAACCUCAGCGCCCAAGCAAAC
rnacentral:rRNA from 1 species